rnacentral:lncRNA from 1 species
CUAGUUCUGCGCCAUCCUUGUAUCUCAAGUCCACCAUGCUUUUGAUUCAUCAAAGAUAACAUGGACGCUUUCUUCUACACACUGGGUCCUCUUGUUAAAAAACCUGUAAGCCUUGCUUGUUGAUGAGUACACAACAGACACCUUUUCAUCACUCUUAGUAUCAAACUUUUCAAGAUCAUCUUUGCCAUUGUUUAGGAUAAAGCACUUGCAUCCAAUGGCCCUUAGGUAACCCAGUUUGGGUUUCUACUGUUCAACAGUUCAUAUGGAGUUUUGUUCAGCAUUGAUCUAAUCAAGCAUCUAUUUGUUACAUGGAAGGCAGUGUUUACUGCCUCAGCCUAAAAAUUCUUCUGGAAACCAAAUUCUAUCAACAUUGUACUUGCAAUAUCCAUCUGUUCUUUCUUUCCACAACUCUAUUUUGUUAGGGAUUUCUAGAUGCUGAUAAAUUGUGACUGAUUCCAUGCUCUGCACAAAACUGGUCCAUCUUAUAUCCGUUAGUAUUGUGUUGAGAAAUUCGGAUUGUUACACCAUUCACAACUUCAGGGGGUAUAUCCGUUCCAUUGGUCGCAAUUCCUCAGUUCCCUUUUAUAUCAUAUUUGAGCUAGGUUUAGGGGGUUUAUCAUUCUUCGCACCAAAUUUGUUUUGGCCAGCAACUGGAGCCUAAUGUUGUGGUAUGUCCACUUUAGAUGCUUCACAAUUGCCCUAGGCCUAGUUGAGUAUUUCUAGUUUGUCGUUCACUAAAGGAGCACUGUUCCAUUGGAUUUGAGUGAGCCCUCAAGAUUUGAGAAGUAAUUUGUCUUCCAUUUCUCUUUGGACUAUCCUCAUGUGAUGGUGCAUGAACUCUGAUACUACUAGUAGCUAUUAAUGUGUUCAAUAUCCACAUUGAGGCCUCGCACUAAUAGUGAUUCGGCCGCAUAAGAUCCAGGGGAAUAGUUUCCUAAUUUUUUUUUUUUGCAUAUUUAAGGCUUGAACACGAGAUCAUUGAUUAAGAGUGAAGGAAUCCUAUUCAUUCCACCAUUGGAUAUUUGCAUUUUUCAGCAUUAUGUAUCCAUGUGUGUUGUAUAAUUUUUGGAUUUGAUGAUAGCUUAGAUGAAGUACUGAUCUUUGCCAUUAAUAUAUCAAUCUUGAAUAAUAGUGUAUAAGAUUUUCGUUUACUGAACAUUUACACAGCUUCCAUUCUUUGUAGGACAAUUAAACUUGGGAGGAGUGAAACUUAACCAUCAGACUUAAUUAUCAGAGAACAGCAAGCAGUUAAUGAUGGACUAUACAAGUUAAUCUUCUGCAAAGGUCUG